UACGUAGGGCGCAAGCGUUGUCCGGAAUUAUUGGGCGUAAAGAGCUCGUAGGCGGUCUGUCGCGUCUGCUGUGAAAACUCAGGGCUUAACCCUGAGCUUGCAGUGGGUACGGGCAGACUAGAGUGCGGUAGGGGAGACUGGAAUUCCUGGUGUAGCGGUGAAAUGCGCAGAUAUCAGGAGGAACACCGGUGGCGAAAGCGGGUCUCUGGGCCGUAACUGACGCUGAGGAGCGAAAGCAUGGGGAGCGAACAGG
rnacentral:rRNA from 1 species